rnacentral:rRNA from 1 species
UACGAAGGUCCCGAGCGUUAUCCGGAUUUAUUGGGUUUAAAGGGUGCGUAGGCGGGUUAUUAAGUCAGUGGUGAAAGCCUUCAGCUCAACUGAAGAAUUGCCAUUGAUACUGAUGAUCUUGAGUAUGAUUGAGGUGGGCGGAAUGUGUCAUGUAGCGGUGAAAUGCUUAGAUAUGACACAGAACACCGAUUGCGAAGGCAGCUCACUAAGCCAUAACUGACGCUGAUGCACGAAAGCGUGGGGAGCAAACAGG